AACCUGAACUCAGUCGUGAUUACCCGCUGAACUUAAGCAUAUCAUUUAGCGGAGGAAAAGAAACUAAAAAGGAUUCCCUUAGUAACGGCGAGUGAAAAAGGGC
rnacentral:rRNA from 1 species